rnacentral:sRNA from 1 species
CUGAGGGCUGGGCUCGGGG